AAGGGCACCACAAGAACGCGUGGAGCAUGUGGCUUAAUUUGACUCAACGCGGGAAAUCUUACCGGGUCCGGACACACUGAGGAUUGACAGGCAAUAUAUGUGACUCUUCGGAGUUUGCAUUGUUAAAUAUGCUAGUCCUUUCAUGAUUAUGUGAUAGGUGGUGCAUGGCCGUUCUUAGUUCGUGGAGUGAUCUGUCUGCUUAAUUGCGUUUCAAAUUACUUAUAAGGUAGCAAUACGCGAUGAAACUUUCAAUAUUACUCCUCACGGAAAUACUCACUUGAGUCUCUCGCUUCGCUAUCCUUUCGAAUGCAACGAACGUGACCGCAACCUCUUGUUGCCUUCGUUUAACAUCCUGCAGCUCGCUGUGGGUACUGAGGGCUUCACUCGGUGACUUGGGCUGAGCAAUCGGUCUUUUGAGCUGAGUAAACUAGAGGGACCGCUGUCAACUUCUUAAACCAGAGGAAGGUUGCGGCAAUAACAGGUCUGUGAUGCCCUUAGAUGUUCCGGGCUGCACACGUGCUACAAUGAUCGUAGCAGUGAGCAUCUUAUUUGAUUUACUUAACACCGCAUACGUGAGUUCCAACUAGCUUAGCAAUAAGUCAAGUAGUUCUCUACGCAGCGGUAACAGCCUGCUUCGAGAGCAAGUGGGUAAUCAAUUAGAAGUAACGAUUUCUUCGCAUUAGCACACUUAAUAUAAGGCGUUGACGCUCAUGAUUCGGCUCUCACGAGUUGUCUCAUUGCACGUGUUGAUGUGCGGGUUCGAUUCCUGCUUUACCUUAUGUGCAAUUGUCAAUUCAUGGUGGGGACAGACCAUUGUUAAUUGUUGGUCUCGGUCUUAACUAGGAAUGCCUUGUAUGAGUCUUUGGUUCAACAAACCACUCAGAAUAUGUCCCUGCCCUUUGUACACACCGCCCGUCGCUCUUACCGAUGGACUUCUCUGUGAGUUUGAGGGACUGGAGCUUACUUUACUGUGAGUCUCUAUGGAAACUUAAACGAACAGUGUGGUCUAAAGGAAAGAGAAGUCGUAACAAGGCAUCGGUAGGUGAACCUGCAGAAGGAUCA
rnacentral:rRNA from 1 species